rnacentral:rRNA from 1 species
GACGAACGCUGGCGGCGUGCCUAAUACAUGCAAGUCGAACGCAGUGGGGACGGGUGAGUACCACGUGGGUAACCUCCCAUCAGAGGGGAUAACACUUGGAAACAGGUGCUAAACCGAUCCUGAUGGAUGGACCCGCGUUGCAUUAGCUAGUUGGUGCGGUAACGGCUCACCAAGGCCACGAUGCAUAGCGGACAUGAGAGGGGUAGCGGCCACACUGGGAAUGAGCCACGGCCCAGACUCCGACGGGAGGCAGAAGUAGGGAAGCUUCGGCAAUGGACGAAAGUCUGACCGAGAAACGCCGCGUGAGUGAAGAAGGUUUUCGGAUCGUAAAACUCUGUUGUUAGAGAAGCGGUAUCUAACCAGAAAGCCACGGCUAACUACGUGCCAGCAGCCGCGGUAAUAC